AUUGAACGCUGGCGGCAUGCCUUACACAUGCAAGUCGAACGGCAGCACGGGAGUAAUCCUGGUGGCGAGUGGCGAACGGGUGAGUAAAGCAUCGGAACGUGCCCAGUCGUGGGGGAUAACGUAGCGAAAGCUACGCUAAUACCGCAUACGAUCUGUGGAUGAAAGCGGGGGACCGUAAGGCCUCGCGCGAUUGGAGCGGCCGAUGUCAGAUUAGGUAGUUGGUGAGGUAAAGGCUCACCAAGCCGACGAUCUGUAGCUGGUCUGAGAGGACGACCAGCCACACUGGGACUGAGACACGGCCCAGACUCCUACGGGAGGCAGCAGUGGGGAAUUUUGGACAAUGGGCGAAAGCCUGAUCCAGCAAUGCCGCGUGCAGGAUGAAGGCCUUCGGGUUGUAAACUGCUUUUGUACGGAGCGAAAAGGCUUCCACUAAGACUGGGGGCUCAUGACGGUACCGUAAGAAUAAGCACAGGCUAACUACGU
rnacentral:rRNA from 1 species